UACAGAGGGUGCAAGCGUUGUUCGGAAUUAUUGGGCGUAAAGCGCGUGUAGGCGGCUUUGCAAGUCGGGUGUGAAAGCCCUCAGCUCAACUGAGGAAGUGCGCCCGAAACUGCAGAGCUUGAGUGCCGGAGAGGGUGGCGGAAUUCCCCCAAGUAGAGGUGAAAUUCGUAGAUAUGGGGAGGAACACCGGUGGGCGAAGGCGGCCACCUGGACGGUAACUGACGCUGAGACGCGAAAGCGUGGGGAGCGAACAGG
rnacentral:rRNA from 1 species